rnacentral:rRNA from 2 species
AGAGUUUGAUCCUGGCUCAGGAUGAACGCUGGCGGUAUGCUUAACACAUGCAAGUCGAACGGUCUCUUCGGAGAUAGUGGCGGACGGGUGAGUAACGCGUGAGAACAUGCCUUUAGAUUGGGGACAACAGUUGGAAACGACUGCUAAUACCGAAUGUGCCUUAGGGUGAAAGAUUUAUUGUCUAGAGAUUGGCUCGCGUCAGAUUAGCUAGUUGGAGUGGUAACGGCACACCAAGGCGACGAUCUGUACUUGGUCUGAGAGGAUGACCAGGCACACUGGAACUGAGACACGGUCCAGACUCCUACGGGAGGCAGCAGUGGGGAAUUUUCCGCAAUGGGCGAAAGCCUGACGGAGCAAUACCGCGUGAGGGAGGACGGCUUUUGGGUUGUAAACCUCUUUUAUCAGGGAAGAAUCGAUGACGGUACCUGAUGAAUCAGCAUCGGCUAACUCCGUGCCAGCAGCCGCGGUAAUACGGAGGAUGCAAGCGUUAUCCGGAAUUAUUGGGCGUAAAGCGUCCGUAGGUGGUUUAUCAAGUCUGCUGUCAAAGCGUGCGGCUUAACCGCAUAAGGGCAGUGGAAACUGAUGAACUAGAGUGCGAUAGGGGUAACAGGAAUUCCCAGUGUAGCGGUGAAAUGCGUAGAUAUUGGGAAGAACACCAGCGGCGAAAGCGUGUUACUGGGUCUGCACUGACACUGAGGGACGAAAGCUAGGGGAGCGAAAGGGAUUAGAUACCCCUGUAGUCCUAGCCGUAAACGAUGACAACUAGGCGUGGUUCGUAUCGACCCGAGCCGUGCCGUAGCCAACGCGUUAAGUUGUCCGCCUGGGGAGUACGCACGCAAGUGUGAAACUCAAAGGAAUUGACGGGGGCCCGCACAAGCGGUGGAGUAUGUGGUUUAAUUCGAUGCAACGCGAAGAACCUUACCAAGGCUUGACAUCCUCGGAACCCUGAUGAAAGUUAGGGGUGCCUUCGGGAGCCGAGAGACAGGUGGUGCAUGGCUGUCGUCAGCUCGUGUCGUGAGAUGUUGGGUUAAGUCCCGCAACGAGCGCAACCCACGUUUUUAGUUGCCAGCAUUCAGUUGGGCACUCUAGAGAGACUGCCGGUGACAAACCGGAGGAAGGUGUGGAUGACGUCAAGUCAGCAUGCCCCAUACGCCUUGGGCUACACACGUACUACAAUGCGUCGGACAAAGAGCAGCCAGCCAGCGAUGGUGAGCCAAUCUCAUAAACCGGCGCUCAGUUCAGAUUGCAGGCUGCAACUCGCCUGCAUGAAGGCGGAAUCGCUAGUAAUCGCAGGUCAGCAUACUGCGGUGAAUACGUUCCCGGGCCUUGUACACACCGCCCGUCACACCAUGGGAGUUGGUCACGCCCGAAGUCGUUACUCUAACUGCUUGCAGAGGAGGACGCCGAAGGUGGGGCUGAUGACUGGGGUGAAGUCGUAACAAGGUAGCCGUACCGGAAGGUGUGGCUG